UACGAAGGGGGCUAGCGUUGCUCGGAAUUACUGGGCGUAAAGCGCACGUAGGCGGUCUUUUAAGUCAGGGGUGAAAUCCUGGAGCUCAACUCCAGAACUGCCUUUGAUACUGAGGAUCUUGAGUCCGGGAGAGGUGAGUGGAACUCCGAGUGUAGAGGUGAAAUUCGUAGAUAUUCGGAAGAACACCAGUGGCGAAGGCGGCUCACUGGCCCGGUACUGACGCUGAGGUGCGAAAGCGUGGGGAGCAAACAGG
rnacentral:rRNA from 1 species